GCCAGCAGCGAUAGCAUGUUGAAUGGGCCAGUUCCCAUCAUUGAAGUUAAGCAACGUUGCACGUGGUUGGUAUCCGAAUAGGUGACGAACCCGGCAAUCACGAGGCGCUGGCU
rfam:Asian citrus Psyllid, Diaphorina citri - Florida Strain, whole genome shotgun sequence.